rnacentral:piRNA from 1 species
UAGAACAAAAGCAAAGAAGGCCAAAAUAAUG